rnacentral:rRNA from 1 species
GAUCUGGCAGCAGUGGGGAAUCUUAGACAAUGGGGGCAACCCUGAUCUAGCCAUGCCGCGUGAGUGACGAAGCCUUAGGGUCGUAAAGCUCUUUCGCUGGGAAGAUAAUGACGGUACCCAGUAAAGAAACCCCGGCUAACUCCGUGCCAGCAGCCGCGGUAAUACGGAGGGGGUUAGCGUUGUUCGGAAUUACUGGGCGUAAAGCGCGCGUAGGCGGAUUGGAAAGUUGGGGGUGAAAUUCCCGGGCUCAACCCCGGAACCGCCUCCAAAACUAUCAGUCUAGAGUUCGAGAGAGGUGAGUGGAAUUCCGAGUGUAGAGGUGAAAUUCGUAGAUAUUCGGAGGAACACCAGUGGCGAAAGCGGCA